rnacentral:rRNA from 1 species
CCUACGGGAGGCAGCAGUGGGGAAUAUUGCGCAAUGGGCGAAAGCCUGACGCAGCGACGCCGCGUGAGGGAUGAAGGUCUUCGGAUCGUAAACCUCUGUCAGCAGGGAAGAAGAGUAACUGUGCUAAUCAGCAGUGAAUUGACGGUACCUGCAAAGGAAGCACCGGCUAACUUCGUGCCAGCAGCCGCGGUAAUACGGAGGGUGCGAGCGUUAGUCGGAAUUACUGGGCGUAAAGCGCGCGUAGGCGGUAAGACAAGUCAAGGGUGAAAUCCCCGCGCUCAACGUGGGAACUGCCUUUGAAACUGGCAAACUGGAGUGUGUGAGAGGAUAGUGGAAUUCCAGGUGUAGGAGUGAAAUGCGUAGAUAUCUGGAGGAACAUCAGUGGCGAAGGCGACUAUCUGGCACAUAACUGACGCUGAGGAGCGAAAGCGUGGGUAGCAAACAGGAUUAGAUACCCUUGUAGUC